rnacentral:rRNA from 1 species
GUGCCAGCCGCCGCGGUAAUACGAAGGGGGCUAGCGUUGUUCGGAAUUACUGGGCGUAAAGCGCGCGUAGGCGGGCAUCUAAGUCAGGGGUGAAAUGCCAGGGCUCAACCUUGGAAUUGCCUUUGAUACUGGAUGUCUGGAGUUCGGGAGAGGUGAGUGGAAUUCCGAGUGUAGAGGUGAAAUUCGUAGAUAUUCGGAGGAACACCAGAAGCGAAGGCGGCUCACUGGCCCGAUACUGACGCUGAGGCGCGAAAGCGUGGGGAGCAAACAGGAUUAGAAACCCCAGUAGUCC